GCUGUAUGAAAUAAACGUUAUUGAAAAUACAUAUCAUCGGACGGCGGUGCGCUGGGUGCGUACGGCAUUGUUGCGGAAAAACCAAUCAAGAUGACGAAAAACAAAAAUACAAAACACACCGCCGAAUCGAAUGAGUAUCUAUUUCUUUACAAACACGACGUGUGCCAAACAAUGUGUUAUGAUUGCAGUCAAAUCAUGAGCGGUACACGACUAUUAUUUUAGGAUUACGUUGUAGACACACAACACUACAACAGUGUACAGUUACACACGCGUUAAACGCGGCGGAUCAUUAUUUCUCUGUCUCGGUGCAAUACUAUACACAAUAAUAAUAAUAUUAUAAUGUGUAAUGCGUGUAUGAGCGAAUGUGCAGGUGGCUGUACGCGGAUUAUAAUAAUAUGUACAUAGGUAUAAUUAUAUACGUACGAGUCACCGUGGUUGUUGGGAAAUGUUGUUUUGAUUUUUUAUCGUACACGUGAAGGCACAUAAUAUAUUGUACACAUAUACAAUAAUAUAAUAUAGGUUCAUAUUGUCUGUUCGUAUAUAUACGACUAUAUCAAUAUAAUAUAGGCACCAUAUUCUAUAUGUAUCAAUAACUAUGUACACCAAAACAGCUAUUAACGUGUCACUGUCGCGGUGUCAAGUGAUAUACAUAGGUAUACAUAUCAUGCGAUUUCGUUAAAUAAUUUAAACUUUGAAUUGCUUGAAAUCGGUGAAUUUGUGAUUGGCAUUUAAAUGCUAUCACAGUUUUGUUUAAAUAAACAGUGUAUAAUUUAUAUUGUAUGUAUUACGUGUUUAUAUUUUUAUAUUUAUAUGCAGGGUACUCUAUAGUUAUAUACCUAUAUAAAAUAGUAUCUGCCACUUAGCAAUUAUCGCCAAUUUAAGACCAAAUCAAUAUAAUACUUGUUUUAGUUUCUCGCGUCUUAUUCCAACUGAAAUUAUUAUCAUUCAAUUGUGUACAAGCAACUGAAUAUUUUUGAAUACCUAGUCUGAACAGGACCAUUUCGUUGUAGCUAUAUAGUAGAGGAAUGAUACAAUUAUUAAUAUCUGUCGUGAAUUAUUGCAAUAUACUAUAUUAUGCUGCACUAAAUCGCUGUCAUAGAUCGCAUGCUAUCCCAGUCAAUUGAAUUAACUGUGAUUUGUAAAUAAGUAUUUUUUAUUUUUCAUAUAACAUUUAUAUAAUGGAACAAAAAUAUUAUGCACUUAAUAGCCAGUAGGUAAUAUAUCUUGUAAAUAUUUAUAACACGUC